UACGUAGGGUGCAAGCGUUAAUCGGAAUUACUGGGCGUAAAGCGUGCGCAGGCGGUGAUGUAAGACAGAUGUGAAAUCCCCGGGCUCAACCUGGGAACUGCAUUUGUGACUGCAUCGCUGGAGUGUGGCAGAGGGGGGUGGAAUUCCGCGUGUAGCAGUGAAAUGCGUAGAGAUGCGGAGGAACACCGAUGGCGAAGGCAGCCCCCUGGGCUAACACUGACGCUGAGGCACGAAAGCGUGGGGAGCAAACAGG
rnacentral:rRNA from 1 species